GCAUAUGAUUUCUAAAAAGAAUUUUACAAAACAAUCUUACUUUAUCCAAGACGGCAAGCUGAAUGCACCAAGACAGCACGAAUUCAGUCUGCACUACCUGCAGCAAAGCCAGCAGCACCAGCUCCCACUCCAAUGGCAGCGCCUCCACCACCCCCACCACCUCCAGGGGCACAUCUCUAUGAAGAACUUGGAGACAGCGCAAUGCAAAGCAGGGGAAAUAACUCACUCUCAGAAGACAGGACAAAUCAGCAAGUUGUGAAGCCCUUUUCUUCCAAUACCAUUGAGGCUCACAAGCCAGCUCAUGUAGAUGGAUCACUUAAAAACAACCAACAGAAGUCUCCAAGAAAAUUCACAUUUCUAUCCGAUAAGGACGGCUUAAGUGCUUGUAACCCCCUUUAUAAGGAAAAGAUAGGUCCAGUAUCAACACAUUCAGACAUUUCCUUGAGAACAGAUUUUGAAGACCCAUUUUUAGUGGAAACAAAAGUCAAGAGUCAGUCCCUGAGGGGCCCAAGAGAAAAGAUUGAGAGGACGUGGAACCAGCCAGUCAGCUUACCUAGGAGACUGAUGCGGAAGGUUCCAAACAGACCAGAAACCAUAGAUCUGAUGCAAUGGCAGAACACCUGGCAAAAAGCUGAAAAUACAAGCAA
rnacentral:lncRNA from 1 species